AGCCCGCAGGUCCAGGGACAAUCACCUGACCCAAGUACCCCGCUCUGUGCCUCUGGCUCUGGACCUAUCGGACCAUCUUUGGACAGAGUCUAAGUUGCUUAGAGCCUUGCUAAGUUCUGAGGCUGGCUUUGAACUUGCCGUCCUCCUGCCUCCGCCUCCUGAACCUCUGGGAUUACAGGUGUGCGCCACCGCGCCAGCUUGUCAAAGGUUCUUGACAUAAAACUAGCAAAAACCCAGAACUGGAGCCCCCUCCGCAGUGUCGACUCAGUGUGACCCUCCAUUCCAGGCCUGGCCUCUGCUCCCACCCUUCUCUGUUCAGUUGACAGCCUGCCUCUUCCAGGAAGCCAAGUCACUCAUGCCCACAUAGCACCUGUCACAGGCCAGGCCACAGUGCUCUUGUGUAGAUGAGCUUACGCGAGCGAUCUUCAUAACAACCCCAUGAGAUGCAGCAGGAAAACUGAGUCACAGUGCAAAGCCACAGUCAGGAUUGAAACCAUCUAACUAACCCAAGACUUGGCUCUGAACUGCUGUGCCCCAUGGCCUCCUGCUCACCAGGCAGCUGGGAGUGUUUAGCCAGCACAUGUGUGGAGUGUUGGGCACGGUGCCACAGGCCUGGGUUUGUCCCAUCUCCAGGAAACUUUAUAUGUUGUCUAAACUGAGCAUCCCAGCAGGCUGCAAGGCAGACGGCAACUCAAGAUUCAGAAUGAUGACCAAUUCCUACCUGGAUCCACACCAUGCUGAAACUCAGCCUGCCUGUGCAGAAAUAAGAGCCUGGCCACAUGACUAACAGCUUUUUUAACUGCCACUCUCAGCAAUGAGGAAGUUCCCCAGCAGACAAGAUACUCUUGAGAUGGCUUUCUUCAAGGGAACUGAAAAGAAAAUGACAUCAGGAUCUAACAGGAUCCCAGGUUCAACCAGAUACUCAAAAUAAGCAAAUGCCCACAGCUCAACUAAGCCAAGAGGGGUUGCUAACCUACCCUUGAGUCAUUAGGGCUGCAAGUCUCUAGCCCAGCACAUCAUGCAGAGGUCUGCCUCCAUGUCACUAGGUUCACAUAAGAGGCUUCACACUUCAGUAAGGAGGCAGGUACAAGCUUGAGGUAGCACCUGAACUACAUCAUUCAGAUACAUCACAAGUUGAAAAAAGGUAAAGAAUAGAGUAUAACACUAUUUGCAUAUAGUAAUAAAAGCAGGGGAGGUAGGAACA
rnacentral:lncRNA from 1 species